rnacentral:lncRNA from 1 species
UACUCCUGGCCAAUCCUAUUAAAGAAUGGGCUUGUCUCAUAAACCAAUCAAAGACCCCCAGAGGGGCGGGUUUUCUUGGGCUUGGAUCCUAGCUGGGGGUGGGGGGCGGUAAAAAUAAAGUGUUUCCACCUCCAGCCAAUCCCAGGGAAGACAGGACGGCACUCCUCCAAUAGGAUCCUGGAGCCGUCGGUAGCAGUGGCGGCCUGAGACCACCCCUAGCGCUCUGGCAGGCGGGAGGGACGCAUCCGGUGCAUUCGCGAGAUCCAGUUGCCGGCACCUGGAAUCUGCUUGCGCGAGGCAGUGGCGGCACCGACGGCCCGGGUUCCCGGUGAGACUCUGUAAAGACUGGGGUAGGGGACGCGGGGGGAAAGAUGCCCAGCCGGAGCGCGUGAGAGGUUGGACCUGGGCGAGCUUUUAUCCCGGCGGCCUCUCAACCCUAGGUCACCAGGUUGCGGAGGAUCGUGCGGGUAGCAAAAGGAAGGCGAGUGCUCCUGCGGCCCCAGACAGCAACCAGAACACUCCAGUUCCCCAAAACUGCCUUCACCCACCAUCAACAACUAAUAACGUAGACUGUCCCUUCCCAGGCCCCAGCAUCUGUAAGGAAACUAGACUGUUCCGUUAGUCCUCAAUAUGCCUCAAUGUCAUCUGAGAGCAGGAAGUCUCAACUCAUCAGACCCAAUGUACCUUCUACUUUCCUGAAAUGAAAUCUGCUACUAAUGGAACCCAUCUACACAGUUCUUAAAAAUCAAGAUAAUGCACUAACUACAACAUAAAAGGAAUAUAUCAAAUGAUUUUCUGCAUCAAUUGAACUAAUCUUAUGGUUAAUUCAAUUGAUGCAGAAAAAUCUAAAGGCUUUUGUCCUUUAGACCAUUUAUAUGGUAAUGUUUGAUGUUCCUGGGAUAAACUCUAUCUGGUAAUAAUUAAUCUAUAUUUUUGAAUACACUGUUAAUGUCUGUUAGCUAACAUUUUGUUGGGGAUUUUCAUUUCAUAAAUGAAACAGCCCUAGAAUUUUCUUUUCAUGGAUUCUUACCUAGUUUUUCAAUCUAGGUUG